UGGGGAAUAUUGGACAAUGGGGGAAACCCUGAUCCAGCAAUGCCGCGUGAGUGAAGAAGGCCUUAGGGUUGUAAAGCUCUUUCGCCCGCGACGAUGAUGACGGUAGCGGGAGAAGAAGCCCCGGCUAAUUCCGUGCCAGCAGCCGCGGUAAUACGGAAGGGGCGAGCGUUGUUCGGAAUUACUGGGCGUAAAGCGCGCGUAGGCGGCUUGGCAAGUGCGGCGUGAAAGUCCUGGGCUCAACCUGGGGACGGCGCUGCGGACUGCCUGGCUGGAGUCCGGAAGAGGGUGGUGGAAUUCCGAGUGUAGAGGUGAAAUUCGUAGAUAUUCGGAGGAACACCGGUGGCGAAGGCGGCCACCUGGUCCGGCACUGACGCUCAAGCGCGAAAGCGUGGGGAGCAAACAGGAUUAGAUACCCUGGUAGUCCACGCCGUAAACGAUGGGUGCUAGAUGUCGGGGGGCUUGCCCUUCGGUGUCGGAGCUAACGCGUUAAGCACCCGCCU
rnacentral:rRNA from 1 species